GACGAACCGUCCAAACGUUGUUCGGAAUCACUGGGCUUAAAGGGCGCGUAGGCGGGCUUGCAGGUCUGGGGUGAAAUCUUUCGGCUUAACCGGAAACGUGCCUCGGAAACGGCAAGUCUCGAGGGGGGUAGGGGCCUGUGGAACUUCGGGUGGAGCGGUGAAAUGCGUUGAUAUCCGAAGGAACGCCGGUGGCGAAAGCGACGGGCUGGAUCCCUUCUGACGCUGAGGCGCGAAAGCCAGGGGAGCAAACGGG
rnacentral:rRNA from 1 species